AUGGUAAAUAUUUGUUCAUUUUUUCUUGUUUUCUUGUAUUGUGUUUUUUUGCAUUUAGUUUGUUCAUGUAAUUUUCUAACAAUUCUUCUUCUCAUAGGCAUAGCUUCAUCCGGUUCCACGACGAGGCCACGAUGCGCUGACCAAGAGGACAUGCCGAACAAGUGGGAGGAGGCAAGGUUGGACAAGACAAAGGAGAAGGAUGUGAAAACCCCUUCAUGUUGGUGUGCAGAUGAGUGCAAGGUGAAGGUCUCCACUGACCGGAAGAAGUCGUGGACGGAAGGAAGAAGAUAUUUUGUGUGUCCCAACUAUGCACAUGAUCGCGCGCGUCCCACUAACGCCUAUGACCUCCCACCGGUAUGUUAG
rnacentral:rRNA from 1 species